UGAUCUGUCCCCUUAAAUAUUUGUGGCGCAAAGGAAGCUAGGCAAUAGAUUUUUUUGUCCUUCUCCCCAUGCAGUAGGAGACUCGAUAGGUUUCGUAAAUCUUCCUGAAUUUGGACUGAAUGUUGUGAAUCCUCGACGCGGGACGCCCCUGAUCACAACUUUAGUGGACCAAAACGUCAUUCAUGCAAUCUUCGUGUCUUUGGAGUCGUCUCGUGUACGUUGACGCUUCUCGGGCUAGCUUAGCUUGCCAACAAAGAGACGCUUUUGUGAUCAACACUUCUCUCACCAGAAAUCAAGCCUGAAGUAAAGUCUUCUUCUUUCCGCCACCGACUGGGUAUGUGGCUGAUCUGACGGCCAUUGUGGAGGCACUGUGUUGCAGAGUGCAAGAUGAUGAAGAAAGCAUGGACUUUAUGCCUUGAGACGAUCGACUGAGAGAACCUCUGAGUGCAGCCUGUGAAAAACCUGACAAGGAAGAGGCUGUCCGUCUGUGCACAUGUCACUCAUUUUCGAAAAAAAAUGAAUUGUGAAAUGUGACCUAUUUGUACAAUGAACAAAAAAUAAACACAUGAAUGUU